GAUGAACGCUGGCGGCGUGCCUAAUACAUGCAAGUCGAGCGAAUGGAUUAAGAGCUUGCUCUUAUGAAGUUAGCGGCGGACGGGUGAGUAACACGCGGGUAACCUGCCCAUAAGACUGGGAUAACUCCGGGAAACCGGGGCUAAUACCGGAUAACAUUUUGAACCGCAUGGUUCGAAAUUGAAAGGCGGCUUCGGCUGUCACUUAUGGAUGGACCCGCGUCGCAUUAGUUAGUUGGUGAGGUAACGGCUCACCAAGGCAACGAUGCGUAGCCGACCUGAGAGGGUGAUCGGCCACACUGGGACUGAGACACGGCCCAGACUCCUACGGGAGGCAGCAGUAGGGAAUCUUCCGCAAUGGACGAAAGUCUGACGGAGCAACGCCGCGUGAGUGAUGAAGGCUUUCGGGUCUUAAAACUCUGUUGUUAGGGAAGAACAAGUGCUAGUUGAAUAAGCUGGCACCUUGACGGUACCUAACCAGAAAGCCACGGCUAACUACGUGCCAGCCGCCGCCGUAA
rnacentral:rRNA from 1 species